rnacentral:rRNA from 1 species
AGUGAACGCUGGCGGUAGGCCUAACACAUGCAAGUCGAACGGCAGCACAGUAAGAGCUUGCUCUUACGGGUGGCGAGUGGCGGACGGGUGAGGAAUACAUCGGAAUCUACUUUUUCGUGGGGGAUAACGUAGGGAAACUUACGCUAAUACCGCAUACGACCUACGGGUGAAAGCAGGGGAUCUUCGGACCUUGCGCGAUUGAAUGAGCCGAUGUCGGAUUAGCUAGUUGGCGGGGUAAAGGCCCACCAAGGCGACGAUCCGUAGCUGGUCUGAGAGGAUGAUCGGCCACACUGGAACUGGGACACGGUCCAGGGUCCUACGGGAGGCAGCAGUGGGGAAUAUUGGACAGAGGGGGGAAGCCUGGUCCAGCGAUACCGAGUGGGUGAAGAAGGCCUUCGGGUUGUAAAGCCCUUUUGUUGGGAAAGAAAAGCAGCAGGUUAAUACCCCGCUGUUCUGACGGUACCCAAAGAAUAAGCACCGGCUAACUUCGUG